GGGGAAUAUUGCACAAUGGGGGAAACCCUGAUGCAGCGACGCCGCGUGGAGGAAGAAGGUCUUCGGAUUGUAAACUCCUGUUGUUGGGGAAGAUAAUGACGGUACCCAACAAGGAAGUGACGGCUAACUACGUGCCAGCAGCCGCGGUAAAACGUAGGUCACAAGCGUUGUCCGGAAUUACUGGGUGUAAAGGGAGCGCAGGCGGGAAGACAAGUUGGAAGUGAAAUCUAUGGGCUCAACCCAUAAACUGCUUUCAAAACUGUUUUUCUUGAGUAGUGCAGAGGUAGGCGGAAUUCCCGGUGUAGCGGUGGAAUGCGUAGAUAUCGGGAGGAACACCAGUGGCGAAGGCGGCCUACUGGGCACCAACUGACACUGAGGCUCGAAAGUGUGGGUAGCAAACAGGAUUAGAUACCCUGGUAGUCCACACCGUAAACGAUGAUUACUAGGUGUUGGAGGAUUGACCCCUUCAGUGCCGCAGUUAACACAAUAAGUAAUCCACCUGGGGAGUACGACCGCAAGGUUGAAACUCAAAGGAAUUGACGGGGGCCCGCACAAGCAGUGGAGUAUGUGGUUUAAUUCGACGCAACGCGAAGAACCUUACCAAGUCUUGACAUCCCUUGACAGGCAUAGAAAUAUGUUUUCUCUUCGGAGCAAGGAGACAGGUGGUGCAUGGUUGUCGUCAGCUCGUGUCGUGAGAUGUUGGGUUAAGUCCCGCAACGAGCGCAACCCUUAUGGUCAGUUACUACGCAAGAGGACUCUGGCCAGACUGCCGUUGACAAAACGGAGGAAGGUGGGGAUGACGUCAAAUCAUCAUGCCCUUUAUGACUUGGGCUACACACGUACUACAAUGGCGUUAAACAAAGAGAAGCAAGACCGCGAGGUGGAGCAAAACUCAGAAACAACGUCCCAGUUCGGACUGCAGGCUGCAACUCGCCUGCACGAAGUCGGAAUUGCUAGUAAUCGUGGAUCAGCAUGCCACGGUGAAUACGUUCCCG
rnacentral:rRNA from 1 species